rnacentral:rRNA from 1 species
AGAGUUUGAUCAUGGCUCAGGAUGAACGCUAGCGGGAGGCUUAACACAUGCAAGUCGAGGGGCAUCACGAGGUAGCAAUACUUUGGUGGCGACCGGCGCACGGGUGAGUAACGCGUAUGCAACCUACCCUGUACAGUGGGAUAACCCGGAGAAAUUCGGACUAAUACCGCAUAAAGAUAUUUUGAGGCAUCUUAAGAUAUUUAAAGCUUAGGUGGUACGGGAUGGGCAUGCGUAACAUUAGCUGGUUGGUAGGGUAACGGCCUACCAAGGCGAUGAUGUUUAGGGGACCUGAGAGGGUGAUCCCCCACACUGGUACUGAGACACGGACCAGACUCCUACGGGAGGCAGCAGUGAGGAAUAUUGGUCAAUGGGCGGAAGCCUGAACCAGCCAUCCCGCGUGCAGGAAGACAGCCCUAUGGGUUGUAAACUGCUUUUCCAGUGGGCGAAACACUCGUACGUGUACGAGAUUGACGGUACACUGGGAAUAAGCAUCGGCUAACUCCGUGCCAGCAGCCGCGGUAAUACGGAGGAUGCAAGCGUUAUCCGGAUUUAUUGGGUUUAAAGGGUGCGUAGGCGGAUGAAUAAGUCAGUGGUGAAAGGCUGCAGCUUAACUGUAGACUUGCCGUUGAUACUGUUUAUCUUGAGUAUGGUCAAGGCAGGCGGAAUGUGUAAUGUAGCGGUGAAAUGCUUAGAUAUUACACAGAACACCGAUUGCGAAGGCAGCUUGCUGGGCCAUUACUGACGCUGAUGCACGAAAGCGUGGGGAGCGAACAGGAUUAGAUACCCUGGUAGUCCACGCCGUAAACUAUGAUCACUAGCUGUUGGCGAUACACAGUCAGCGGCAAAGCAAAAGCAUUAAGUGAUCCACCUGGGAGUACGGCCGCAAGGCUGAAACUCAAUGGAAUUGACGGGGGCCCGCACAAGCGGAGGAACAUGUGGUUUAAUUCGAUGAUACGCGAGGAACCUACCUGGGCUUAAAUGUAGAGUGCAUGAGGUAGAAAUACUUCUUUCCUCGGGACUUUCUGCAGGUG